rnacentral:rRNA from 1 species
UACGUAGGCAGCGAGCGUUUGUUCGGAGUUACUGGGCGUAAAGGGUGUGUAGGCGGUUUUCUAAGUUUGGUGUGAAAUCUCCCGGGCUCAACCGGGAGGGUGCGCCGAAAACUGGGAGACUAGAGUGCGGGAUGGGAGAGUAGAAUUCCUGGUGUAGCGGUGAAAUGCGUAGAUAUCAGGAGGAAUACCGGUGGUGUAGACGGCUCUCUGGACCGCCACUGACGCUGAGACACGAAAGCGUGGGUAGCAAACAGG